GAUGAAGAACGUAGCGAAAUGCGAUAAGUAAUGUGAAUUGCAGAAUUCAGUGAAUCAUCGAAUCUUUGAACGCACAUUGCGACCGCCAGUAUUCUGGCGGGCAUGCCUGUCUGAGCGUCAUUUCAACCCUCAUGCCCCUAGGGCGUGGUGUUGGGGAUCGGCCAAAGCCCGCGAGGGACGGCCGGCCCCUAAAUCUAGUGGCGGACCCGUCGUGGCCUCCUCUGCGAAGUAGUGAUAUUCCGCAUCGGAGAGCGACGAGCCCCUGCCGUUAAACCCCCAACUUUCCAAGGUUGACCUCAGAUCAGGUAGGAAUACCCGCUGAACUUAAGCAUAUCAAUAAGCGGAGGA
rnacentral:misc_RNA from 1 species